GAUCAUGGCUCGGGACGAACGCUGGCGGCACGCUUAACACAUGCAAGUCGAACGAGAGAAGAGAAGCUUGCUUUUCUGAUCUAGUGGCGGACGGGUGAGUAACACGUUAGCAAUCUGCCUUUCAGAGGGGGAUACCGAUUGGAAACGAUCGUUAAUACCGCAUAACAUAAUUGAACCGCAUGAUUUGAUUAUCAAAGAUUUAUCGCUGAAAGAUGAGCUCGCGUCUGAUUAG
rnacentral:rRNA from 1 species